GGCUCCGUAGCUCAGCUUGGUAGAGCACUGGACUCUUAAUCCAGGUGUCGGGGGUUCAAAUCCCCUCGGGGCCA
rnacentral:tRNA from 1 species